CCCUCUCCCCCCUUUCUGUCUCUCUCAUACACACAUCCUGUUAGUUCUGUUUCCCUGGAGAACCCUAAUACAACUGGUUUUCUCUUUGAAGCCUCUAAUGAUCUAGAUGGCAUCGUAUAACCAGCAUCAUUUAACUGAAGUCUGCUAACAGAGCUACUUCUUUAAAGCUAUCACUACGCUUUUCCUCAUGUACGGGCCACUCGGAAUCAAAACGAGCAAAUGAAUCUUGAGGAAAAGUCAUUUGAUCUAAACAACUCAUUCACAGAGCAGUAUGUAAAUGCCUUCUGUGCAGCCGCACCCCAUUAAAUCAUCUUCUUUGGGCACCGUCUUCUCAAAAUACCUACAGACCUUCGAGGGAGAUGCUGAUGCCGUCUCUGGGGAUUUAUGUUGUCCGGUUUUCGUGCACGUGGAUGCGCAUAAGACCUCCUUAUGUACUUUGGGCCAGUAUAUGAAGUACUCCACACAACACGGCACUUGAGAGGAACCAGUUUCAGACAUGGUGGCUGAAGUCCUUAGUGCUCGCUCCAAUGGGGUCGGCGGCUUUGAAGGCACGGUGGGUCCCCUGUGGACCCACCCAGUGUGAAUCCAACCGUACUGGGCCUGUGCUCUCUCCCGCUGACGCCAUCUGUGCUAACCUCACCAACCUCAAGCACAGGGCUGUGACAAAAGGAGGACUGGGGGUCACUUGCCCUGCCUUCUCCAAUGGGAACGCGAUGUGCUUUUGCUCUGCAUAAACUCUGCUUUCUGCUUUUUCGGUAAAGUUGAACAUUACCCCACCUCUUGAAGAACUCUACUGCAAGUAGUUCAUCUUGAAAUUUCAUCAAAAAUGGAUUUGCACAGAUUUAACAUAAUAAUCUUCAAGCGUGUCUACAAAUUUGAAGAGUCUGAUCUAGAAUUUGGAAAGGUAAAAUUGAGAAGAAUAAUCCAGCUGAAGGGGCACAGAAUGAAGAGAGGUGAGAAUAUUUGGGAGGAAAAGGUUAGCCCUGUGAGAUACAAGGUUGAGAAUCAAGACAGAAAAAGAAAAAUUAGAGAAGUUGGAAAACCAGAUAGGUGGCUGUACACUUUCCUUAAAAAAAAAA